rnacentral:rRNA from 1 species
GAUUGAACGCUGGCGGCAUGCCUUACACAUGCAAGUCGAACGGCAGCACGGGAGCAAUCCUGGUGGCGAGUGGCGAACGGGUGAGUAAUACAUCGGAACGUGCCCAGUCGUGGGGGAUAACUACUCGAAAGAGUAGCUAAUACCGCAUACGACCUGAGGGUGAAAGCGGGGGAUCGCAAGACCUCGCGCGAUUGGAGCGGCCGAUGUCAGAUUAGCUAGUUGGUGGGGUAAAGGCCUACCAAGGCUACGAUCUGUAGUUGGUCUGAGAGGACGACCAGCCACACUGGGACUGAGACACGGCCCAGACUCCUACGGGAGGCAGCAGUGGGGAAUUUUGGACAAUGGGCGCAAGCCUGAUCCAGCAAUGCCGCGUGCAGGAAGAAGGCCUUCGGGUUGUAAACUGCUUUUGUCAGGGAAGGAAUCCUCUGGGUUAAUACCUCGGGGGGAUGACGGUACCUGAAGAAUAAGCACCGGCUAACUACGUGCCAGCAGCCGCGGUAAUACGUAGGGUGCGAGCGUUAAUCGGAAUUACUG